AUUGAACGCUGGCGGCAGGCCUAACACAUGCAAGUCGAGCGGAGCGGCGGACGGGUGAGUACUGUAUCGGAACGUGCCCCGUAGCGGGGGAUAACUACGCGAAAGCGUAGCUAAUACCGCAUACUAUUGGAGCGGCCGAUAUCGGAUUAGCUAGGUGGUGGGGUAACGGCUCACAAGGGCGACGAUCCGUAGCUGGUUUGAGAGGACGACCAGCCAAACUGGGACUGAGACACGGCCCAGACGCCUACGGGAGGCAGAAGUGGGGAAUGUUGGACAAGGGGGGAAACCCUGAUCCAGCCAUGCCGCGUGAGCGAUGAAGGCCUUCGGGUUGGAAAGAACUUUUGGCAGGAAAGCGGUACCUGCAGAAUAAGCACCGGCUAACUACGUGCCAGCAGCCGCGGUAAUUC
rnacentral:rRNA from 1 species